rnacentral:rRNA from 1 species
GAUGAACGCUGGCGGCGUGCCUAAUACAUGCAAGUCGAGCGAACAGAUAAGGAGCUUGCUCCUUUGACGUUAGCGGCGGACGGGUGAGUAACACGUGGAUAACCUACCUAUAGGACUGGGAUAACUUCGGGAAACCGGAGCUAAUACCGGAUAACAUAUUGAACCGCAUGGUUCAAUAGUGAAAGGCGGCUUUGCUGUCACUUAUAGAUGGAUCCGCGCCGUAUUAGCUAGUUGGUAAGGUAACGGCUUACCAAGGCAACGAUACGUAGCCGACCUGAGAGGGUGAUCGGCCACACUGGAACUGAGACACGGUCCAGACUCCUACGGGAGGCAGCAGUAGGGAAUCUUCCGCAAUGGGCGAAAGCCUGACGGAGCAACGCCGCGUGAGUGAUGAAGGUCUUCGGAUCGUAAAACUCUGUUAUCAGGGAAGAACAAAUGUGUAAGUAACUGUGCACAUCUUGACGGUACCUGAUCAGAAAGCCACGGCUAACUACGUG